CGCCUUUUGUAGGAUGCUGGCGUAAUGGCUUUAAACGACCCGUCUUGUAACACGGACCAAGG
rnacentral:rRNA from 1 species